rnacentral:rRNA from 1 species
UAAUACGAAGGUCCCGAGCGUUGUUCGGAAUCACUGGGCGUAAAGGGAGCGUAGGCGGCGUGGCAAGUCAGACGUGAAAUCCCGGGGCUCAACCCCGGAACUGCGUCCGAUACUGCCAUGCUCGAGCAUUGGAGAGGUAGCUGGAAUUCUUGGUGUAGCAGUGAAAUGCGUGGAUAUCAAGAGGAACACUCGUGGCGAAAGCGAGCUACUGGACAAUUGCUGACGCUGAGGCUCGAAGGCCAGGGGAGCGAAAGGG